rnacentral:misc_RNA from 1 species
GUGAGUCAUCGAAUCUUUGAACGCACAUUGCGCCCGCCAGUAUUCUGGCGGGCAUGCCUGUCCGAGCGUCAUUUCAACCCUCGAGCCCCCCCGGGGGUCCGGCGUUGGGGAUCGGCACUUACCUGCCGGCCCCGAAAUGCAGUGGCGGUCCCGCCGCAGCCUCUCCUGCGCAGUAGUUUGCACACUCGCACCGGGAGCGCGGCGCGGCCACAGCCGUAAAACACCCCAAACAUCUGAAAUGUUGACCUCGGAUCAGGUAGGAAUACCCGCUGAACUUAAGCAUAUCAAUAAGCGGAGGA